rnacentral:rRNA from 1 species
AUAGGGGAGCCGAAGGGAAACCGAGUCUUAACUGGGCGUUAAGUUGCAGGGUAUAGACCCGAAACCCGGUGAUCUAGCCAUGGGCAGGUUGAAGGUUGGGUAACACUAACUGGAGGACCGAACCGACUAAUGUUGAAAAAUUAGCGGAUGACUUGUGGCUGGGGGUGAAAGGCCAAUCAAACCGGGAGAUAGCUGGUUCUCCCCGAAAGCUAUUUAGGUAGCGCCUCGUGAACUCAUCUUCGGGGGUAGAGCACUGUUUCGGCUAGGGGGUCAUCCCGACUUACCAACCCGAUGCAAACUGCGAAUACCGAAGAAUGUUAUCACGGGAGACACUCGGCGGGUGCUAACGUCCGUCGUGAAGAGGGAAACAACCCAGACCGCCAGCUAAGGUCCCAAAGUCACAGUUAAGUGGGAAACGAUGUGGGAAGGCUCAGACAGCCAGGAUGUUGGCUUAGAAGCAGCCAUCAUUUAAAGAAAGCGUAAUAGCUCACUGGUCGAGUCGGCCUGCGCGGAAGAUGUAACGGGGCUAAACUGUGCACCGAAGCUGCGGCAGCGACGCUUAUGCGUUGUUGGGUAGGGGAGCGUUCUGUAAGCCUGCGAAGGUGUCCUGUGAGGGAUGCUGGAGGUAUCAGAAGUGCGAAUGCUGACAUAAGUAACGAUAA